GACGAACGCUGGCGGCGUGCUUAACACAUGCAAGUCGAACGGAAAGGCCUGCUUUCCCUUGUGGAUUGCGGGUACUCGGGUGGCGAACGGGUGAGUAACACGUGAGUGAUCUGCCCCCAACUUGGGUAUAAGCCUGGGAAACUGGGUCUAAUUCCCGAUAGGACUGCAGGGUGGUGCCUGUGGUGGAAAACGAUUUUCUAGUGGUUGGGGAUGAGCUCGCGGCCUAUCAGCUUGUUGGUGGGGUAAUGGCCUACCAAGGCGGCGACGGGUAGCCGGCCUGGGAGGGUGGACGGCCACAUUGGGACUGAGAUACGGCCCAGACUCCUACGGGAGGCAGCAGUGGGGAAUAUUGCACAAUGGGCGGAAGCCUGAUGCAGCGACGCCGCGUGGGGGAUGACGGCCUUCGGGUUGUAAACUCCUUUCGACCGCGAGGAAGCCACCUGGUUGGAAGGGUGGUGACGGUAGUGGUAGAAGAAGCACCGGCUAACUACGUG
rnacentral:rRNA from 1 species